GCCCCAGUAGCAUAGUGGUCACGUGCAGUCCGUUGGUAACGGACAGGUCGUGGGUUCAAUUCCCACCUGGGGCU
rnacentral:tRNA from 1 species